UACAGAGGGUGCGAGCGUUGUCCGGAAUCACUGGGCGUAAAGGGCGCGUAGGCGGCUCGGUCAGCGUGCGGUGAAAGCCCGGGGCUCAACCCCGGGUCGGCCGUGCGAACUGCUGGGCUGGAGCACUGUAGAGGCAGGUGGAAUUCCGGGUGUAGCGGUGGAAUGCGUAGAGAUCCGGAAGAACACCGGUGGCGAAGGCGGCCUGCUGGGCAGUAGCUGACACUGAGGCGCGACAGCGUGGGGAGCAAACAGG
rnacentral:rRNA from 1 species